rnacentral:rRNA from 1 species
AGUGAACGCUGGCGGUAGGCCUAACACAUGCAAGUCGAACGGCAGCACAGUAAGAGCUUGCUCUUACGGGUGGCGAGUGGCGGACGGGUGAGGAAUACAUCGGAAUCUACUUUUUCGUGGGGGAUAACGUAGGGAAACUUACGCUAAUACCGCAUACGACCUACGGGUGAAAGCAGGGGAUCUUCGGACCUUGCGCGACUGAAUGAGCCGAUGCCGGAUUAGCUAGUUGGCGGGGUAAAGGCCCACCAAGGCGACGAUCCGUAGCUGGUCUGAGAGGAUGAUCAGCCACACUGGAACUGAGACACGGUCCAGACUCCUACGGGAGGCAGCAGUGGGGAAUAUUGGACAAUGGGCGCAAGCCUGAUCCAGCCAUGCCGCGUGGGUGAAGAAGGCCUUCGGGUUGUAAAGCCCUUUUGUUGGGAAAGAAAAGCAGCAGGUUAAUACCCCGCUGUUCUGACGGUACCCAAAGAAUAAGCACCGGCUAACUUCGUG